UACGUAGGGCGCAAGCGUUAUCCGGAAUUAUUGGGCGUAAGGAGCUUGUAGGCGGUUCGUCGCGUCUGGUGUGAAAGCCCAUCGCUUAACGGUGGGUCUGCGCCGGGUACGGGCGGGCUAGAGUGCAGUAGGGGAGACUGGAAUUCCCGGUGUAACGGUGGAAUGUGUAGAUAUCGGGAAGAACACCAAUGGCGAAGGCAGGUCUCUGGGCUGUUACUGACGCUGAGAAGCGAAAGCGUGGGGAGCGAACAGGAUUAGAUACCCUGGUAGUCAAGGGCGAAUUCGUU
rnacentral:rRNA from 1 species